AGUCGAGCGGACAGAUGGGAGCUUGCUCCCUGAUGUUAGCGGCGGACGGGUGAGUAACACGUGGGUAACCUGCCUGUAAGACUGGGAUAACUCCGGGAAACCGGGGCUAAUACCGGAUGGUUGUCUGAACCGCAUGGUUCAGACAUAAAAGGUGGCUUCGGCUACCACUUACAGAUGGACCCGCGGCGCAUUAGCUAGUUGGUGAGGUAACGGCUCACCAAGGCGACGAUGCGUAGCCGACCUGAGAGGGUGAUCGGCCACACUGGGACUGAGACACGGCCCAGACUCCUACGGGAGGCAGCAGUAGGGAAUCUUCCGCAAUGGACGAAAGUCUGACGGAGCAACGCCGCGUGAGUGAUGAAGGUUUUCGGAUCGUAAAGCUCUGUUGUUAGGGAAGAACAAGUGCCGUUCAAAUAGGGCGGCACCUUGACGGUACCUAACCAGAAAGCCACGGCUAACUACGUGCCAGCAGCCGCGGUAAUACGUAGGUGGCAAGCGUUGUCCGGAAUUAUUGGGCGUAAAGGGCUCGCAGGCGGUUUCUUAAGUCUGAUGUGAAAGCCCCCGGCUCAACCGGGGAGGGUCAUUGGAAACUGGGGAACUUGAGUGCAGAAGAGGAGAGUGGAAUUCCACGUGUAGCGGUGAAAUGCGUAGAGAUGUGGAGGAACACCAGUGGCGAAGGCGACUCUCUGGUCUGUAACUGACGC
rnacentral:rRNA from 1 species